UUGAUAUAUGAUUUUUCAAAA
rnacentral:piRNA from 1 species